rnacentral:rRNA from 1 species
GAUGAACGCUAGCGGCAGGCUUAAUACAUGCAAGGCGAGGGGGCAGCAAUGUCACCGUCGUACGGGUGCGUAACGCGUAUGCAACCUACCUAUCACUGGGGGAUAGCCCGGGGAAACCCGGAUUAAUACCGCAUAACACAGGGGUCCCGCAUGGGUACUAUUUGUUAAAGAUUUAUCGGUGGUAGAUGGGCAUGCGUUCGAUUAGCUAGUUGGUAUAGGUAACGGCUUACCAAGGCGACGAUCGAUAGGGGAGCUGAGAGGUUGAUCCCCCUCACGGGCACUGAGAUACGGGCCCGACUCCUACGGGAGGCAGCAGUAGGGAAUAUUGGGCAAUGGAUGCAAGUCUGACCCAGCCAUGCCGCGUGCCGGAUGAAGGCCCUCAGGGUUGUAAACGGCUUUUAUUCGGGAAGAAGAGCUGGGAUGCGUCCUGGUGUGACGGUACCGAAUGAAUAAGCACCGGCUAACUCCGUG